rnacentral:rRNA from 1 species
UACAGAGGUCUCAAGCGUUGUUCGGAUUCAUUGGGCGUAAAGGGUGCGUAGGCGGCGCGGUAAGUCGGGUGUGAAAUCUUGGAGCUUAACUCCGAAACUGCAUUCGAUACUGCCGUGCUUGAGGACUGGAGAGGAGACUGGAAUUUACGGUGUAGCGGUGAAAUGCGUAGAUAUCAUGAGGAAGACCAGUGGCGAAGGCGGGUCUCUGGACAGUUCCUGACACUGAGGCACGAAGGCCAGGGAGCAAACGGG